rnacentral:rRNA from 1 species
GCUACCACUUACAGAUGGACCCGCGGCGCAUUAGCUAGUUGGUGAGGUAACGGCUCACCAAGGCRACGAUGCGUAGCCGACCUGAGAGGGUGAUCGGCCACACUGGGACUGAGACACGGCCCAGACUCCUACGGGAGGCAGCAGUAGGGAAUCUUCCGCAAUGGACGAAAGUCUGACGGAGCAACGCCGCGUGAGUGAUGAAGGUUUUCGGAUCGUAAAACUCUGUUGUUAGGGAAGAACAAGUACCGUUCGAAUAGGGCGGUACCUKACGGUACCWACCAGA